GAUGAACGCUGGCGGCGUGCUUAACACAUGCAAGUCGAACGAAGCACUUUAUUUGAUUUCCUUCGGGACUGAUUAUUUUGUGACUGAGUGGCGGACGGGUGAGUAACGCGUGGGUAACCUGCCUUGUACAGGGGGAUAACAGUUGGAAACGGCUGCUAAUACCGCAUAAGCGCACGGCAUCGCAUGAUGCAGUGUGAAAAACUCCGGUGGUAUAAGAUGGACCCGCGUUGGAUUAGCUAGUUGGUGAGGUAACGGCCCACCAAGGCGACGAUCCAUAGCCGACCUGAGAGGGUGACCGGCCACAUUGGGACUGAGCCACGGCCCAAACUCCUACGGGAGGCAGCAGUGGGGAAUAUUGCACAAUGGGCGAAAGCCUGAUGCCGCGACGCCGCGUGAGCGAAGAAGUAUUUCGGUAUGUAAAGCUCUAUCAGCAGGGAAGAUAAUGACGGUACCUGACGAAGAAGCACCGGCUAAAUACGUG
rnacentral:rRNA from 1 species